rnacentral:rRNA from 1 species
UUCUUAGUUCGUGGAGUGAUCUGUCUGCUUAAUUGCGUUUCAAAUUUUUAACCGAGGACCGGGUUUUGGUUUGGCUAGUGGUCCUACGAUGACUGUGAACUGUCAUGUCUUCGGAUGUACGACUAUCGGUCUAGGAUCACAUGACUUGCCCCUGGGACUCUUUUGAACGCAACGGACGUGAUUGCAACCCCUUGUUGAGAUUAGAGAUAGUCUCGAUAUUCACUGGCCAAACUGGCUGCUUUAUGCAGUCUUGUUGAAUGGUGGAUAAACUCGGGGGACUGCUGACUAUAACCAUUUCUCAAAACAGAGGAAGGUUGCGGCAAUAACAGGUCUGUGAUGCCCUCAGAUGUCCCGGGCUGCACACGUGCUACAAUGAGUGGCGCAAUGUGCUAAUGUUUUAAGGGAUAAGCGUGCGGCCAGUAGAACGUCGGCAAUUGCCCUGGCGUCUUCUACCGCACGAUUAUCAGCCUUCCCUUAACAGGGCGGGCAACCUUUUCAAAAUACCGGUUUGAUGUUAAAGUAUAGAGUCGUUUUUUUUGGAUGGUGGUUUACGAACCAAUACCAUCCGCAACUGCUCGCGAGUUUGUGGUUCUGGUGACUCAUGG